GGGACACCCUCGGGGACAGGUGCCACCGCCUGGUCACACACCUGCUGCAGGCCGUGUCCCCGGACGAGGAGGACAUUUGGGGACUGGCGGCCACCCUGACCCGGCUCUCGGUGCUCUUCAGUGACCAUGACCUGACCCCCUGGGGGCUUUUCGGGCCCCUUUCGGAGCUCCUGAGGCGCCGCCUCGGGAACGGGGACGGAGACAACAGCGUGCCAGCACAGGUGGUGAUCCCGGCCAUCUCCUGCCUCUUCUUCCACUUCUUCUGGGAACUCUCCCGAGUUCCCGACUCCGGAGCCUCCCCGGAGGAUUUGCGGGACCUGCGCUCCCGGGCUCUCCUGCUG